UAACAACCAAAAGAUUCAUAUUUAUUUAUAUUUCCAAACCCCACGUUAAACGAGUUCAGGACCUCCCGCGCUUUUUUCCUCUCAGAGAAAUGUCUGCAGGCGAACACACGACUGUAGCUGCAAACACGAACACAACUCCAGACGACCAGUCGCUGAAACUUGCCCUAGCAAUCUCUCUUCUACGAUCGAAGUUCAUUCAAAACCGGCCUCCUCCGACCGAUCGGAAUGAGUCUGAUGCUUUGCGAUGGAAGCGAAAGGUCCCCCAUCUCAUAAACUCCUCACCUCUCAGUUUGGCUAAGGAGCGAAAGCAAGAGCUUCUGCGACUCAGAGAAGAUCUCAAGGAAGCUGAAGAUGCUUCACAGUGCGACUUGUUUCCGAAAAGUGCCUCUUGCAAGUGCUAUUUCUUUGAUAAUUUGGGGAAAUUAAGCCCUCAGGGACUUGAAGACGGCUCUGAUCGCAGAUUCAACGACGUUCUUCGCCGGCGAUUUCUCAGACAUGUGCGCUUCAAGGAAAGGAGGAGAGGAGCAGGUGCGUCAAUCCAGCGACGACAAUUUUCAGUCUUGAAUACUGAAGAUGAAGAAACCGAGCAACUCAGGGCCUCAGUUGACUUUCUGGUGGAGCUUUGCGAUACUGUUUCUCCUGUGGGAGAGGCUAAUUUUGCUAACUGGGCACACCAAGCUGUAGACUUUAUUUUAGCUUCAUUGAAGAAUCUAUUACCAAGGGGAAAAGACACGAAACUCAUUGAAGGAAUCGUCAACAGCUUAAUUAUGCGUCUUGUUAGAAGGAUGUGUUCUCCAUCAAAAGUAUUUGAGUCACUUCAUACUGGCUUGGAUGCCCAGUUCUAUGUUCAGCAUCUGAUCCGUAAGCUUGGAAGUGAAGCCUACGUUGGACAACGUGCAAUUCUUUCAGUUUCUCAAAGAAUAUCUGUGCUAGCUGAAAGUUUUCUUUUCUUAGAUCCAUUUGAUGAUUCUUUUCCCGGCAUGCAUGGCUGUAUGUUCACCCUGAUCCAGCUUAUUGAGUUUCUGAUAUCAGACUACUUAUUAAUUUGGUCAUGUGCUGAAGGCUUUGACAAGAUGCUGUUUGAAGAGUGGGUGGCAUCUAUUCUCCAUUCACGGAAAGCACUAGAACUUCUGGAAAGCAGAAAUGGGCUUUAUGUGCUUUACAUGGAUCGAGUCACAGGUGAAUUGGCUAAACAAGUGGGUCAGUCUUCAUCACUCCAGAAGCUCAAACCGGAGAUUCUUGAUAACCUGUUCCACUGACUGCAUUGUCGCAUACAGCUUCUGAGAAAUCUCAUGAAAAAAGCGUCUCGAAUCCCCUCAGAAGAGCUUUUGGCAAGCAUCUGCAAAGGGAGACACACUUGGCAGAUGCCUCAUUUUACAACCGGAAGCUUGGAGUUCACAUUAAAAGGAAGGGGAGAUUUGGAACACGUGCUCGCACAAGAUCUUCAGCAGUUCGAAACCAGAGAUCAUCUUCCUUCCAUGUUUAUAUGAGAGGUUUGUCAACCAAAACAGAGUAGAUGUGCAGAGAAGAUAUGGGGCAGAUGAAGAAGCUCAUCCUUCAGAGAUUUCCCGAAAGGGAAAAUCAGUUUAUGGAGGUGCCAAUGACAUUAAGCGCCCUCAUACUGCCCGUGAUGGAGCAAACUCCUUUUUGAUUAAACCCAGUUCGGGGUUUUUGAUGUUGCUGGGACAUGUUGUGCUUCCCCUUCUCGAUCUUGUUUUCUUCUUUUGAAUGCUGAUGUGAUUUUGUAAAACAGAUACUAGGUCAUCUUUAAACUUUACUUUGUGUUCUAUUUUCUGAUAAAUGUUUAGGACUAAACUUUAUGAUUCAUAUUACUAGUUGUAUAAAACAUCCAUCAUGUGAGUUUUACAUUAAA